UUGUGAAAGGACAGCAGUCAUCUUUCAGGACUGAUCUGAAAUGAAAACAUUCACUCCUGACCACUU